CUAACAAGUGGGCGGUGUCAUCUAUUUGACUCAAGCAAGAGAAGUUUAUACUUGAGAAGUAUGGAGCUUUCCCUAGGCCCUCUGUUCAACAUGCCUGCAGGAGAAGUACCUGAAGGAGGCACACAACGUCCGGUUUGCCAGUGUGUUUAGAACAGAGAAGAACCCGACAUACUUCAGCCGUCGCCUGGCCACCUUCUCCAACCUGUACACCUCCUCUUUCAACAACCUCAUGAACUAUUCUCUGGACUACACCUUCAUUCCGAGGAGGGCAGCCCUACCCACAUGAACCAGACCUUGAUUUUUGAUUAUUUUCCCCAAGAGUUUGGCUUUUAUAUUAAAAAAUAAUAUUAUAGAAACACAUGCUCUGAAACAUUUACGAUGAAAACUCAUUGAAAAUUUAUUAUUAAAA